rnacentral:rRNA from 1 species
ACGAACGCUGGCGGCGUGCUUCACCCAUGCAAGUCGAACGGAAAGGCCCUGCUUUUGUGGGGUGCUCGAGUGGCGAACGGGUGAGUAACACGUGAGUAACCUGCCCUUGACUUUGGGAUAACUUCAGGAAACUGGGGCUAAUACCGGAUAGGAGCUCCUGCUGCAUGGUGGGGGUUGGAAAGUUUCGGCGGUUGGGGAUGGACUCGCGGCUUAUCAGCUUGUUGGUGGGGUAGUGGCUUACCAAGGCUUUGACGGGUAGCCGGCCUGAGAGGGUGACCGGCCACAUUGGGACUGAGAUACGGCCCAGACUCCUACGGGAGGCAGCAGUGGGGAAUAUUGCACAAUGGGCGGAAGCCUGAUGCAGCAACGCCGCGUGCGGGAUGACGGCCCUCGGGUUGUAAACCGCUUUCGCCUGUGACGAAGCGUGAGUGACGGUAAUGGGUAAAGAAGCACCGGCUAACUACGUG